GGGCGGCAGCAUCGCGGCGGGGCGGCUCCGCAGCAGGCUUGUGCUGCGUGUGAAUGUUUUUCCAGCAGUAACUGGACGUCUUCAUUAGCUGCUGCCAGGCUACAGCCAGACAAGCCAUCUGCUGCCCAGGAAACUACAUACUGUAAGUGUCUGUGCCUCUGAUUCAUGGUUGUCCUGCCCAUAUGAUAUAUGAGUAAAGGACACCUGUUGUUGUUGGUCGUUCUGUACACCCCUUGAUUGCUGGUGCAUUUGUCCUGUUUCCUUCCUCCUGCUACCCUCCUCUCUCUCCUAGCCACUUGCCUGAAUUUGCCCAAACUUAACUGUUCCCCAUCCCAGGGCAGCCUGGCAGUCCUUAGCGACCCUCUAAUCAUAAUGGUGCCCUCCUUGCCUGCUGGACUUAGAUAUCUCAUGGCUUCUUGGAUUCCUCUUCUCAGCUUGGCAAAUGGGUCCUGCUUGCACUCUUGAUUUCGUUUCUGUUCUAAGGGAUAUGAGAGCUUUGAUAAUUCCCUCUUGUGCUCACACUCAAAGAUAAACAAGUUUCUACAGUUUUCUUUCGUGGAAACAGACAGUUCAGUGUGCCCCAUGGUAAGAAAAUGUUGCAGUAUGAAUUCAUGUUACAAGGACCAGGGACUUUACAUUGAAGGGAGACCUUAAAAAUGACUUAGCAAGGAAAACAACGUUUAGAACAUGUAUUUGACUAGCAGGACCAGCUGCUUUCCUGUCCUAUCCCUGCUCUUAUAAUGGACAAUUCACACUUAUUGGAAAUUGAAAUUAACACUAGGCUGACAACUGUGAAAGGCUGUAUUUUCAACAACAGGAGCUGUUGGGCACUUCCAUUAGCUCCUGCAGCACGUAAAGCAUUAGGCUUUGCGUGUAGACUCAGAACACCCAGCAAUGUCAUUUAACACCUUAUUAAGCACUUAGUAUCUGACCUAUAAAGGAGUCUGUCAGUCCAAUUUGUGGGUCGAUUAUACUUCUAUGCAACAUGUUAAAGUAGUGUAAGUCUGCAGAGUAAUUUUAAAUGUUCUGAUUCCUCAUGUAAAAUGCUAGUGUUUUUUUUUUGGAACCACCUGGAUUUUGGUUCACUUCUUUCAGGUACGGUUCCCUCAGGUAAGUUUUGCACUGUGUAUAAAUAUAUAUAUAUAUUUUACAAUUUAAAUCUUACCACAGACCUCCUACCUUUUACCUCACAACUACAACUGAUUAUGCUUCUUUAUAUUAUUGAUUACAUUUUGUAUUUCAUCGAUCUGCUUUAAGAUAAUUCUGUUUGUAAUGGAAAGUCCUGGGUAUUCCAGUGUAUGUGGUAAUCAGUAUGCUUUUUCGCAGUCAGUCUGACAUUGUAACAAAAAGACAUUCAGCAGAUAUUUUAAAGAUUUGCUUGCAUGUCAACCCCUACUGAGGAGAGGAUAAAAAGGAAGUACUGGUUAAGUAUUUGUAUUAUUAAUAUUUAUUUUUAGAGACAGGCAAAUGUUGUCUGGGGGAUGACUGCAGUUGGGGUGCGCAGUCAUCAAAAUUAGCAACUAGUCUCUCAUUCUCACUUGAAAUUGUUUCAGUUGUUGUAAACAUACUGCUUCCAUGUCAACACUGCCUUGAAAGCUAAUGGAUUCUGAAUUCUUUUUUUUUCCUAGUAGAUUAAUAUAAUUGACUGUGAUAUUCAUAAUGACAGAACAACCAAUGGAUCAAAUAUUUUAUUCUAGAUUGGGCCCAAUUAGUGGCAUCCAAGCAAUACUACACCUAUUAUUCACUCUUUUGAUCUUUAGUCAGUUCUGUUAAUUGUGUGCUUGGCACACAUGCGUUUACUUACAGAAGAGUAACAGAUAUCCCAACACCAAAAAAUACGGUUAAAUGCAGUAAUUUCCAAACGCUGGAGAGGAAUUUUGUGCCAAGUGUGAAAUGUGAAUUGCAUUGUGUCAAUUACUCUCCUCUAGGAAGGAACAAUGAUUCAACGUUUUAAACAAAACAAUACAUGAAUUUAGAGAAUGGCUUGAGGGCAGCCCUGAGGAGAGGGAUUUGGGGGUGUCAGGUGAUGAGAGAUUCAACAUGAGCUGGCAAUGUGCACUUGCAUCCCUCAAGGCCAUCUGUGUCCUGGGUUGCAUCAAGAGAAAUGUGACCAGCAGGGAGAGGGAGGUGAUUCUGCCCCUCCACUCUGUUCUUGUGAGACCCCCACCUGGAGUACUGCAUCCAGUUCUGGGGUCCCCAACACAAGGAGAUGGAGCUGUUGGAGCAGGUCUAGAAGAGGGCCACAAAGGUGAUCAGAAGCCUGAAGCACCUCUCCUAUGGGGACAGGCUGAAAGAGGUGGGGUUCUUCAGCAUGGAGUGGAGAAAGCUCCAGGGGACCUUAUAGCUGCCUUCCAGUACCUGAAGGGGGGCCUACAGGAAAGCUGGGGAGGGACUUUAUAUAAGGGCAUGUAGUAACAAGACAAGGGAAAAUGGGUUUAAACUGGAAGAGGGUAGACUUGGAUUAGAUAUUAGGAAGAAAUUCUUUACUGUGAGGGUGGUGACGCAGUGGAACAGGUUGCCCAGAGAUGUGGAUGCCCCUCCCUGGAGGCGUUCAUGGCCAGGCUGGACGGGGCUGUGAGCAACCUAGUCUAGUGGGAGGUGUCCCUGCCUGUAGCAGGGGGGUUGGAACUAGAUGAUCUUUAAGGUCCCUUCCAACCCAAACCAUUGUAUGGUUCUAUGAUAAAGGAAAAUAAUAAUGAUUCAAAAAAAAA
ensembl:lncRNA